rnacentral:rRNA from 1 species
AAACCCUUAUGUGAACCUACCUAUCGUUGCUUCGGCGGACUCGCCCCAGCCGGACGCGGACUGGACCAGCGGCCGCCGGGGACCAUCAAACUCUUGUAUUAUCAGCAUCUUCUGAAUACGCCGCAAGGCAAAACAAAUAAAUUAAAACUUUCAACAACGGAUCUCUUGGCUCUGGCAUCGAUGAAGAACGCAGCGAAAUGCGAUAAGUAAUGUGAAUUGCAGAAUCCAGUGAAUCAUCGAAUCUUUGAACGCACAUUGCGCCCGCCAGCAUUCUGGCGGGCAUGCCUGUUCGAGCGUCAUUUCAACCCUCGACCUCCCUUUGGGGAAGUCGGCGUUGGGGACCGGCAGCACACCGCCGGCCCUGAAAUGGAGUGGCGGCCCGUCCGCGGCGACCUCUGCGUAGUAAACCAACUCGCACCGGAACCCCGACGUGGCCACGCCGUAAAACACCCAACUUCUGAACGUUGACCUCGAAUCAGGUAGGACUACCCGCUGAACUUAAGCAUAUCAAUAAGCCGGAGGAAAA